rnacentral:rRNA from 1 species
GAUGAACGCUGGCGGCGUGCCUAAUACAUGCAAGUCGAGCGAACAGACGAGGAGCUUGCUCCUCUGACGUUAGCGGCGGACGGGUGAGUAACACGUGGAUAACCUACCUAUAAGACUGGGAUAACUUCGGGAAACCGGAGCUAAUACCGGAUAAUAUAUUGAACCGCAUGGUUCAAUAGUGAAAGACGGUUUUGCUGUCACUUAUAGAUUGAUCCGCGCCGCAUUAGCUAGUUGGUAAGGUAACGGCUUACCAAGGCAACGAUGCGUAGCCGACCUGAGAGGGUGAACGACCACACUGGAACUGAGACACAGUCCAGACUCCUACGGAAGGCAGCAGUAGGGAAUCUUCCGCAAUGGGCGAAAGCCUGACGGAGCAACGCCGCGUAAGUGAUGAAGGUCUUCGGAUCGUAAAACUCUGUUAUUAGGGAAGAACAAAUGUGUAAGUAACUAUGCACGUCUUGACGGUACCUAAUCAGAAAGCCACGGCUAACUACGUG